rnacentral:lncRNA from 1 species
AGUACCGGGAAAACAGGAGCGUGUGAUUGGGGUUUACAGUGUUUUCUCUCGCUCUCUCUGUUUCUAGGGAAUUCGGGCUGUGUUUAGCUGCUGGAAUAUCGUAGAAUUGGUUUUCAGAGAAGUUCCUCGACUCCUGAGGCGAAACAUAAAGGGAUGGGAGUGGUGUGGGAAGUGAUCGUGUGGGGAAAAAAAAGUUUCGAGCCCGUUUCGCAUUUGUGGAGACAGAGUUUUUGGUGUGACCACUCUUUUGUGGGAAACCCAAACCAAGGAGAACUCAGGAGAAUUGGCGCUCUUCGGUCCUGGAGGUUCCGCAGCUAACAUCCCGGCUUGACCAACUAUCGAGGCCGCAAAUUAAUAGGGCACCUCCUGGGAGGAAAACGCCCAUCCUGACUUCUCAACUGUGACAGUUUGCUCUGUCGCCCAGGAUGGAGUGCAGUGCAGUGGCGCGAUCCUGCAACCUCCGCCUCUCGAGUUCAAGCGAUUCUCCUGCCUCAGCCUCCCGAGUAGCUGGGAUUACAGACGCGCGCCACCCCACCCAGAUGAUCUUUUUAAAUGCAAAAUGCCAUCGACGCAGAAAAUCAAAGAAUCAGCUUAAGUUCCAGAAAAAAGAAAAACCAACCAAAUGAACAAUAAGACAACAACAACAACAACAAAAAAGGCCUUUUGGGAUUUUGGAUGAUAUUGCAUCAAAUCCAUACAUUAACCUGAGAGACGAGCGACUUCUUCAACAUUGAGCCUUCCAAUCAUGAUUUUCAAUUCAUUUAGGUCUUCUGUAAUGUUUCUUAAUAUAAUUGUAUUUGUUGCUAUGCAGAAGUUUCACUGAUCUUUUAUUAUAUCUCUAUAUAUAUUUGAUAUUUCUGACACUAUUGUAAAUAGUAUCUUUUUAAUAUUUCAUUUUCCUUUUUUGUUGCUUAAAUAUAUAUAAAAUAAGCUAAUUUUCCAAACUAAUUUUUAUAUCCAGCAACCCUGCUAAAAUUUCUUAUCCAAUAAAAAUAUAAAUGUA